ACCACACACACUCCAGCUGCAGCACAGCUCACACACACACACACAUCCUAAAGCUGAAGACCAGUGUGUGUGUGCUUUUGAGUGUGUAAGAGUGUGCAAACUUUGGAUCAAACUACUUCUUCAUUUAGGAAUCGCUCCCUUGUUCACUUCACUGCUGUAUUAAGGGUCCACCAUCAGCCCGAACACACAAUCCCCCAGUAUUACUGAAGGACAGUCUGUGAGUCUCUGCUGGAGUUUGUGUUCAGUCGACUGGAAAAGAGGUUUUUGUACGAGUGUUUCAGCACAUUCAAGCACUGUGGUACACAUUCGGUGGAGGAACCAAACUGCUGAUCUCAACUGGUUCCCCAGUGAAGCCCUCAGUGUCUCUGCUCGGCUCCUCUUCUCUGCAGAGCUCUGGAGACUCGGCCGCUCUGCUCUGCCUGCUCAGCUCUUACUCUCCACCGGGGGCGAAGGUGAGCUGGACACGGGACGGCUCUGAGCUCAGCGAGGGGUUCCUGACCAGUGCAGAGAGCCAGCAGGACGGCCGCUACAGCUGCACCAGCGUCCUGAAGCUCAAGAGAGAAGAAUGGGAGAAGCGAGAGCGCUACGCCUGCAGAGUCACUCAUGCUGGAGGUGAUCAGGAGAUCCCGUUCCCCAAGUGCUGAUCUGUGUAUGUGUGUGUGUGUGUGUGUUUCAAUAAAGCCUGUUGUUCUUCUGCUCCACACGUGUCUGACAGCAUCCUUCACUCACUCAUGCAGAUCUGCUCGGUCUCCACUGGAGAAUCAGCACACGUUCACACUGCUGGAGUCAAUGACUCUGAGUUGUCGCAGCUUCUUCAUUCGUGUGUUUUUCCUCAAAGUCUCGUUUCACUUUGCUUCACACUAGAACAUUCCAGCAGUCCUGACUGUGCUCCAGAAAGAAAUGGCAUUGACACAGAGUCCAGAUGGAGUUGAGUAUUGAGCCGCUGAAUAUAUCUGCUCCUCUAGAAAACUCUCUGCUUGACCCUGAGAUCAGAGGAGAGUCUUGCUGUGGAGCGACCUGAUCAAGUCCUGUCGUCUGCUGCAGCUACAUUCACAAAUGAGCCUCAGAUUAGAGUUUGGACUCGGCUGAAGAUCAA
rnacentral:lncRNA from 1 species